GGGUCAAUGAUGAGAACUCAUGUGGUCUCAAAGAGGAAUGAUGACCUAAAUAUUAUGCUCAAUAGGAAUAUGCUGAGUCCC
ensembl:snoRNA SNORD115 Small nucleolar RNA SNORD115